AGGACUGACUUCCAUGGCUGUUAAGAGCUGCAACAACGACGCUUCCUAAGUUGCACAAGCAUGAAUACACACAGGGGAGGAAAUGUAACGCCAUGAGAUGGAUCAACAUCUUCAUCGUAACCAGAAUCAAUCGUCUCUACAUGGAACCAAAGGCGUGCCAACAUGCCACUCCUGCCCACUGAUGCCAUGCAAGUUUUACUGCUUCUGCAUGCCAACUGACUCAGUCACCUGCCUGCAGUGCUUCACUGCAUCUUACUUAUUAACCAGUGAAUCAUGUAACAGGAAGUGGCAGCAAGGUGUCUACAAUAGAAGAAACAGAUACAUUAACAUAAAGCUUGAAAAAAAUCUCAGUAUGGCUGUGGUAUCUGUAUUGAAGAACACUGGAGUUUUCAUUAAAAGAUCUUUGAAAUCU